CUACGUGCCAGCAGCCGCGGUAAUACGGAAGGUCCAGGCGUUAUCCGGAUUUAUUGGGUUUAAAGGGAGCGUAGGCUGGAGAUUAAGUGUGUUGUGAAAUGUAGACGCUCAACGUCUGAAUCGCAGCGCAUACUGGUUUCCUUGAGUACGCACAACGUUGGCGGAAUUCGUCGUGUAGCGGUGAAAUGCUUAGAUAUGACGAAGAACUCCGAUUGCGAAGGCAGCUGACGGGAGCGCAACUGACGCUUAAGCUYGAAGGUGCGGGUAUCGAACAGGAUUAGAUACCCUGGUAGUCCGCACAGUAAACGAUGGAUGCCCGCUGUUGGUACCUGGUAUCAGCGGCUAAGCGAAAGCAUUAAGCAUCCCACCUGGGGAGUACGCCGGCAACGGUGAAACUCAAAGGAAUUGACGGGGGCCCGCACAAGCGGAGGAACAUGUGGUUUAAUUCGAUGAUACGCGAGGAACCUUACCCGGGCUUGAA
rnacentral:rRNA from 1 species